GGAGUAGGGUGCGCACAGCGGACCAAGCCAAGCAAGUCCAGCCCGAAGAGUUUGACAUGGGUCGGGCUCCAGUGAAGCCCACUAGCCAAGUUUUGGACCUAAAGGGCUCCAAGAAAGUUGGGACCAAGAAGAACAAGGCAAAAGGCAAGGUCGUGGUCUCUUCGUCCGUGGAUCUAAAGCGACAGUGGCUUCCUGGGGCCCUAAAGUCUUCAUCUUUGCAGCCAGGGCCUCGAUGGAGGCAGAGGAGAGCCCGCAGGAGCCAGGAGGAGGAAGCCGAGAGCUUGGUGCC
rnacentral:lncRNA from 1 species